GGUUCGAUGGCGUAGUUGGUUAUCGCAUCUGUCUAACACAUCUGUUCGCACAGAAGGUCCUCAGUUCGAACCUGGGUUGAAUCA